AGUGAACGCUGGCGGUAUGCCUAACACAUGCAAGUCGAACGGCAGCACAGUAAGAGCUUGCUCUUACGGGUGGCGAGUGGCGGACGGGUGAGGAAUACAUCGGAAUCUACUUUUUCGUGGGGGAUAACGUAGGGAAACUUACGCUCAUACCGCAUACGACCUACGGGUGAGAGCAGGGGAUCUUCGGACCUUGCGCGAUUGAAUGAGCCGAUGUCGGAUUAGCUAGUUGGCGGGGUGAAGGCCCACCAAGGCGACGAUCCGUAGCUGGUCUGAGAGGAUGAUCGGCCACCCUGGAACGGAGACACGGUCCAGACGCCUACGGGAGGCAGCAGUGGGGAAUAUUGGACAAUGGGCGCAAGCCUGAUCCAGCCAUACCGCGUGGGUGAAGAAGGCCUUCGGGUUGUAAAGCCCUUUUGUUGGGAAAGAAAAGCAGCAGGUUAAUACCCCGCUGUUCUGACGGUACCCAAAGAAUAAGCACCGGCUAACUUCGUG
rnacentral:rRNA from 1 species